GCAGGCAGGCGUUCAACAUUACUCUAGUGAGUUAAUUAGCUAAUUAACGGUGAUUAUGCGCUUAAAGUAACUGCUAUAUGUUCUUUUUAGUAUCGGAAAAUUAAGAUUGUGAAAUAGAAAGUAUUAAGGCCCAAGUGCAUGGAAACAAGUAUUUCCAAAUCGUUUGCGAGAGAAACUAUUUUUGUAAAUCCGCAAGUUUGAGACGUGGCUGCUCGAGGCUCAGGAACUGACAUCCUUCACGCGAAGGGGUUCCUGCCGGUCCCAAGAACCGGAGUGUAGGUUGCUAGAGGAUCCGAACGCUACGGCUCCUCGGGGUGGAUCCCGAAGCUUGGCGGCUUGUAGGCGUAUGUCUCGUCGUCCGGCCAGUGAACUACCGAAGCACCUACGGGCCAGGGAGAAGAUUCACAACUCCCGGAAAUCGUCACUGGAAGCCAAUUGCCAGUCAUCUUUCCAUCUUGUUGGCCUCGAGUAAGUCACCUAUCCGUGCAAAGCUACAACUGCUCGAAUAGCGUGGGACAGCACCGUCGUAGCCAAGACCGGCACCACUGACAGCAUCGUCACCGAAGAUAGUCGUGUAGUGCCACACGAAUACCCAAACGUCGUCAACACCGAGUCAAUCAGCACAACCACCGUCGUCGUCAACAUCUUACACCACUACCACCGUCGCUGAACAUCGCACCUGAG